AACAUCCACUAAAGGACAGAUGAAGAAAUUACAUAAAAUGAAGGAUGCACAAGAGGGGCAGGAGCCAUUGAUUCUGUGGCUGGGUUACACUGACCUCAGAGAGGAGGCAAGACAGACCAGCAGUGUUCAUUAUGGUUCCAGACCCAGCCUCGGUGUUUGAAGAUGGGAGAGAGAAAAGCCUUUGUGGAGACAAGUGAACUUAUGAAUUACGACUGAGCACAAUUUGCAUUUCCUACUAGUAAGUUCAGAGCCAGAAACCUGCUAUCAUUUGUGUUGUUUACAGACACUUGUGAGUGAGAAGAACAACUUGAAGCUUUCUUCUGAGAUCUUCUCUAAAGUAUCCCCAUCAACAUUAAAGGGACUUUCUCAUUAAAGCCCCAGGAGUUGCUGUUUUUAAGGCCAGAAAUUAAAAAAAAGAGAACUAU